rnacentral:rRNA from 1 species
GACGAACGCUGGCGGCGUGCCUAAUACAUGCAAGUCGAACGCAGUGGGGACGGGUGAGUAACACGUGGGUAACCUCCCAUCAGAGGGGAUAACACUUGGAAACAGGUGCUAAACCGAUACUGAUGGAUGGACCCGCGGUGGAUUAGCUAGUUGGGGGGGUAACGGCGCACCAAGGCCACGAUGCAUAGCCGACCUGAGAGGGUGAUCUGCCACACGGGGACUGAGACACGGCCCAGACUCCUACGGGAGGCAGCAGUGGGGAAUAUUGCACAAUGGGCGCAAGCCUGAUGCAGCCAUGCCGCGUGUAUGAAGAAGGCCUUCGGGUUGUAAAGUACUUUCGGUCGGGAGGCGUUACCGACAGAAUAAGCACCGGCUAACUCCGUGCCAGCAGCCGCGGUAAUAC